rnacentral:rRNA from 1 species
GACGAGCCUCACGAACGUUAUUCGGAAUUACUGGGCUUAAAGGGUGCGUAGGCGGCGCGGAAAGUAGGGUGUGAAAUCCCUCGGCUCAACCGAGGAACUGCGCUCUAAACUACCGUGCUCGAGGGAGAUAGAGGUAAGCGGAACUUAGGGUGGAGCGGUGAAAUGCGUUGAUAUCCUGAGGAACACCGGUGGCGAAAGCGGCUUACUGGAUCUCUUCUGACGCUGAGGCACGAAAGCUAGGGUAGCGAACAGG